AUGAAGAAACAUCAAUAUAAAGCUCAAGUGAAAGGCUCUAGUCAAAGCUGUUUUUUUUUAUGGCCGGACAUCCGGGACUUGGCCGGAUGUCCGGGCUUCCGGGUCGCCCCGGAUGUCCGGGAUCCUCCCGGAAAUCCGGCCCGCAAAUUCCAAAACCUGUUUUCAAAUGUGCUGCAACGUGUGGGCGAAGUGGCGUACAAGCUUGCACUCCCAGAGCAUUCCAGGAUCCAUCCUGUUAUCCAUGUCUCGCAGCUUCGCGCUGGCCUUCCUCCCGCCACGAGUGCUAUGCCAGAGCUUCCAGUACUCGACGAGGAUCUUCUUCCACUACAAGUACCUGAAGCUGUCCUCCAGAAACGUCGCGUCCAACGCGGAGCCCGGCAAGUGAAACAAGUUCUGGUGCAAUGGUCGGGUUUUCCUACAUCCUUGGCAACCUGGGAGGACAAGAUUCCGCUGCGGUCUCGUUUUCCCCGAGCGCUGGCUUGGGGUCAAGCCAAGCGUAAAGGAAGGGGAAAUGUCACGAGAACUACACCCAGCAAUCCGAGUGAGCCGGCCCAAGCAAAGCCCACCAGGCCGCAGCGCAGCAAGCAGCCCAACCAGCGCUACACCGGGCCAGAUUGGAGCCAGUGA
rnacentral:rRNA from 1 species